CCUUUGGUGGUGCAAAUGGUUAACACACUUGGCUGAUAACCAAACAGAGGUUCGAUUCUGCCCAGAGGC
rnacentral:tRNA from 1 species